rfam:Lupinus angustifolius cultivar Tanjil chromosome LG01, whole genome shotgun sequence.
CUUUGUAUUCUUCCACAGCUUUCUUGAACUGCAGCAUCUAAAUGGUUCCUUUGCAUGCAUUCCAUCUACCACCCAUACCUUGUUUUGCGGUUCAAUAAAGCUGUGGGAAGAUACAAAUA